rnacentral:rRNA from 1 species
AUACGUAGGAUCCGAGCGUUGUCCGGAUUUACUGGGCGUAAAGGGCGAGUAGGCGGCCUGCUAAGUCUCAUGUGAAAUCUCCCGGCUCAACUGGGAGGGGUCAUGGGAAACUGCCAUGCUCGAGGGCAGCAGAGGAGAGCGGAAUUCCGGGAGUAGCGGUGAUAUGCGUAGAUACCCGGAGGAACACCCGUGGCGAAAGCGGCUCUCUGGGCUGUACCUGACGCUAAGGCACGAAAGCGUGGGGAGCAAACAGGAUUAGAAACCCUAGUAGUCC